UCGGGGCGUAGCGCAGUCUGGUAGCGUACUUGUCUGGGGGACAAGGGGUCGCAGGUUCAAAUCCUGCCGUUCCGACCAC
rnacentral:tRNA from 1 species